rnacentral:rRNA from 1 species
UACAGAGGUCUCAAGCGUUGUUCGGAUUCAUUGGGCGUAAAGGGUGCGUAGGCGGCGCGGUAAGUCGGGUGUGAAAUCUCGGAGCUUAACUCCGAAACUGCAUUCGAUACUGCCGUGCUUGAGGACUGGAGAGGAGACUGGAAUUUACGGUGUAGCGGUGAAAUGCGUAGAUAUCGAGAGGAAUACCUGCGGCGAAGGCGGGUUGCUGGGCUGACACUGACGCUGAUGCGCGAAAGCCAGGGGAGCGAACGGG